AAUCAACGCUGGCGGCGUGCCUCAGACAUGCAAGUCGAACGAUUAAAGCUCUCUUCGGAGAGUGUAUAGAGUGGCGCACGGGUGAGUAACACGUAAGUAAUCUACCCUCGAGUGGGGAAUAACGUCCGGAAACGGACGCUAAUACCGCAUAAUGCAGCGGCACCGCAAGGUGACAGUUGUUAAAGAUUUAUCGCUUGAGGAGGAGCUUGCGGCAGAUUAGCUAGUUGGUAAGGUAAUGGCUUACCAAGGCUACGAUCUGUAACCGGUCUAAGAGGACGGUCGGUCACACUGACACUGAAUAACGGGUCAGACUCCUACGGGAGGCAGCAGUCGGGAAUUUUGGGCAAUGGGCGAAAGACCUGACCCAGCAACGCCGCGUGAAGGAUGAAGUAUUUCGGUAUGUAAACUUCGAAAGAAUAGGAAGAAUAAAUGACGGUACUAUUUAUAAGGUCCGGCUAACUACGUG
rnacentral:rRNA from 1 species